CUCAAUUUUGACGGUUUUGACUUUUCCAGGGCUGCAAAAUGGAUGCCGACAAAGGAAAAAGGUCGCUUCGCGCAGAAAAAUUCGCUAGUGGAAGACUGACUUAAUAGAGGGUAAUAAAGCGCAUUUAAACAUGCACAUUUACUAUAUAUGGCCCUGAAGGGGUAAAAUGGGAACUGGGAUUGAUCUAUUUUUAGACUGGGAAAAUGGGAUUUGGGUUGCUGGGACUGGGCCACUGGGAAUGGGAAAUGAAGUCCUCAAAAAUGGGAAUGGGAUUGAAGUAAUGUGAGUCGAUUCCCAAUUUUGAUCCGUUUUUGGUGUCUUUAGUCAUGAUUUUUGUUGUUAACUAUAUUAUUCACAGCAUUACCUGCGAACAGGCAUACUCUGGCGCCCGGAAUUUUGGGUUUUCUGAUUAUGCG